GAUGAAGAACGUAGCGAAAUGCGAUACGUAAUGUGAAUUGCAGAAUUCAGUGAAUCAUCGAAUCUUUGAACGCACAUUGCGCCCGCCAGUAUUCUGGCGGGCAUGCCUGUCUGAGCGUCAUUUCAACCCUCAUGCCCCUAGGGCGUGGUGUUGGGGAUCGGCCAAAGCCCGCGAGGGACGGCCGGCCCCUAAAUCUAGUGGCGGACCCGUCGUGGCCUCCUCUGCGAAGUAGUGAUAUUCCGCAUCGGAGAGCGAUGAGCCCCUGCCGUUAAACCCCCAACUUUCCAAGGUUGACCUCAGAUCAGGUAGGAAUACCCGCUGAACUUAAGCAUAUCAAUAAGCGGAGGA
rnacentral:misc_RNA from 1 species